UCUUCAUGAACAGACUGAUUGAGACAUUUUGCAGUAAACUUACUUCAAGUUCAAAGUUAACACGAAUACACGUACUGAGUUUUAGCGGUAAUUGGUCUCAUGCUAAGCGAUUCACAUGUGAAUGCCUAACAUAACGUGUCAACGGCACAUUUGACUAGGAUUAGUUGUGUCCGUGCCCACUUGAUUAACGUCCUACGUGCGUAACUUUUCAGAUUUUGUAGACGCCCCUAACUUAUAUUUUAGAAAUUAGCAUGCCACACUGAGCUACACCUAUCGCCUUCACUUCCUUGAGAAAACAUUAGCUUGCGCUUCCAGCUUUCUGAGCGUUAUCAACUUUGUGGGGAUUUUCACUUGUCACUGUGCGCGAACACUCACAAAAAAAUCUAAAAUUUCGCCUGGUUGGUAUAAGAUGAAAAUAGCGUUUUUUCUUUUGCAAAUGGCUCUGUUUUGAAAAAUACGACCGAAUUUACAAAUUAUUUACGAAUCACCUUUUUAGGCAACAAGCUCUCUUAACAGUUAAUGCGUCGAUAUUAUGAAGAAAUGAAAGACAGGGCUCUGCAGCUCGUGCUGCUGCUUGAGCACUUUGUAUUUUUUUUUUCAGCGUCAUUCCUUUGUUCCUUCACUAAAGAGAGACCUUGCCAGGAGAAAACCAGAAGUGUAGUAAGUUUUCGAGGAGCAGGGUGAGAGCCAACUCGGCAAAUAGCGUCGUUCUCUUCAAAUAUACCAGCAAUUAUGGCAGAAGGAAGCGAUCUGGCACUGAAGGUCACAAACAAUAAAGCUAAAAGCUGCCAGGAAGACCGCCCAAAUGGAAUUGAACAUCACAUCAUGCAGAGAUUUCGAAUGCAAAGCAACCUGCGAGGCCCAGUUGAACCAGGAAUUUGUGGAUGUUAUAGGGCACUGCGAAGGGGCCUCAUGCAAAUGCAACUACAAAGAAGCAUGCAUUACGCGGAAAUGCCAAAGACUUUGUCGCCAAGAAGCAGACAGGAGGCGUGUGCCGAACGCAAAUGGCGAAUGCCAACGAACGAACUGUAUUUGCACUCUCGAAGAUGAUUGCGAUAAAGAUAAGUGUAGAAAAAUCUGCACCGCUAAAUACCCGGGAAGACCAAGCUCCGCCAGGGGAAUAUGCAUCGAUGGAGAGUGCACCUGCAGGCAUUUGUAAUAAACCAAGCACAUGCACGAAGUUUCUCGAGAAGGUGCACGGGUGCUCUGAUACUGCCAUGGUGGUGGUUCUGCGAGCAACAACAACACUAGCGUAAAUAUUCAAAAUAAAGAAUAUUCGCUUCAUUGCAUCAUGUGGGCGCUGACGGAACGCUAAUAC